CAUCAGGAGUUGUCAUUCCACACAUAAAUCCAUUAUCACUGCUGUUCCUGAAGAGGGCUCGUUGCGAUCACUCUGAGCACUCAAGUCAUUCUCCUAGCUUUCUUCACUAGCUGAUUCCCUUGGAAACCAAACUUGUGCAUAUAUAAUAGUCUUAAGAUAAUUCCAUUCAACCUGACUACUGUUGUAGUUACUCAUCUAGUUUCCAGUGUUGUAGUUUUCGUAGCUUCAGAUAAAGUAGAUUACGUGAUUAUACAGACAUUAGCAGCAAAUUGUCUUUCUGACGCUGCUGUCGACAAAACCAAGUUUAGCCUAAUCUUCUUCCUCCGGUUGCUGGUUGAUCACCAUGGC
rnacentral:lncRNA from 1 species